GACGAACGCUGGCGGCGUGCUUAACACAUGCAAGUCGAGCGGUAAGGCCCUUUCGGGGUACACGAGCGGCGAACGGGUGAGUAACACGUGGGUGACCUGCCCUCAGCUCUGGGAUAAGCCUGGGAAACCGGGUCUAAUACUGGAUAUGACUCCAUGACGCAUGUUGUGGGGUGGAAAGCCUUGUGCGGCUGAGGAUGGGCCCCGCGGCCUAUCAGCUUGGUUGGUGGGGUGACNGGCCUACCAAGGCGACGACGGGUAGCCGGCCUGAGAGGGCGACCGGCCA
rnacentral:rRNA from 1 species